rnacentral:rRNA from 1 species
GACGAACGCUGGCGGCGUGCUUAACACAUGCAAGUCGAACGCUGAAGCUCAGCUUUUGUUGGGUGGAUGAGUGGCGAACGGGUGAGUAACACGUGAGUAACCUGCCCCCUUCUUUGGGAUAACGCCCGGAAACGGGUGCUAAUACUGGAUAUUCACUGGUCUUCGCAUGGGGGUUGGUGGAAAGGGUUUUUCUGGUGGGGGAUGGGCUCGCGGCCUAUCAGCUUGUUGGUGGGGUGAUGGCCUACCAAGGCUUUGACGGGUAGCCGGCCUGAGAGGGUGACCGGGCACAUUGGGACUGAGAUACGGCCCAGACUACUACGGGGGGCGGCAGUGGGGAAUAUUGCACAAUGGGCGCAAGCCUGAUGCAGCGACGCCGCGUGAGGGAUGGAGGCCUUCGGGUUGUGAACCUCUUUCGCUAAUGGUCAAGCCGCAACAAUGGUUGUGGUGAGGGUAGUGGGUAAAGAAGCGCCGGCUAACUACGUG